rnacentral:tRNA from 1 species
GCAGUGGUGGUCAGUGUUAGAAUCCUCUCCUUCCAUGCGGGAGACCUGGGUUCGAUUCCCGGCCAAUGCU